AUUAGAGUUUGAUCCUGGCUCAGGACGAUCACUGGCGGCGUGCCUAAUACAUGCAAGUCGAGCGAGCCUGCCUAGAUGAUUUUAGUGCUUGCACUAAAUGAAACUAGAUACAAGCGAGCGGCGGACGGGUGAGUAACACGUGGGUAACCUGCCCAAGAGACUGGGAUAACACCUGGAAACAGAUGCUAAUACCGGAUAACAACACUAGACGCAUGUCUAGAGUUUGAAAGAUGGUUCUGCUAUCACUCUUGGAUGGACCUGCGGUGCAUUAGCUAGUUGGUAAGGUAACGGCUUACCAAGGCAAUGAUGCAUAGCCGAGUUGAGAGACUGAUCGGCCACAUUGGGACUGAGACACGGCCCAAACUCCUACGGGAGGCAGCAGUAGGGAAUCUUCCACAAUGGACGAAAGUCUGAUGGAGCAACGCCGCGUGAGUGAAGAAGGGUUUCGGCUCGUAAAGCUCUGUUGGUAGUGAAGAAAGAUAGAGGUAGUAACUGGCCUUUAUUUGACGGUAAUUACUUAGAAAGUCACGGCUAACUACGUGCCAGCAGCCGCGGUAAUACGUAAGUGGCAAGCGUUGUCCGGAUUUAUUGGGCGUAAAGCGAGUGCAGGCGGGUUCAUAAAUCUGAGGUGAAAGCCUUCGGCUCCACCCGAAAAAUGCAUCCAAAACUGGUGAAACUUGAUGCCGAAAAAGGAAAGUGGAACUCCCUGGGUGUACGGGUGGAAUGCGAAAAAUAUGGGAAAAAAACCCG
rnacentral:rRNA from 1 species